GGCUUUCCUUUAUCUUGAAGAUUAAGCCAUGCAUGUCUAAGUAUGAACUGGUUUAAGGUGAAACUGCGUACGGCUCAUUACAUCAGCUAUAACUUUCUUUGAUCAUGAAUUCUAAAUGGAAUAACCGAGGAAAAGCCUGGGCUAAUACAUGCGACAAUUCCGGUAGUAAUAUCGGAAUGCUUUUAUUAGAUCAAAACCUUCUAGUUCUUUAAACGGAACUGUUUGUUGGUGACUCUAAAUAACUUUGUGUUGAUCGUAUGACCUUUGUGUCGACGACAUAUCUUUCAAGUGUCUGACUUAUCAACUUUAGACGGUACAUUAUAUGUCUACCGUGGUUGUAACGAGUACAGAGAAUCAGGGUUUGGUUCUGGAGAGGCCGCCUGAGAAACGGCGACCACUUCCAAGGAAGGCAGCAGGCGCGCAAAUUACCCACUCUCAAAACGAGGAGGUAGUGAAGAGAAAUAACGAUGUUAGUCUUUUUUAGGCUGAUAAUCGGAAUGGGAACACUGUAAAUAGGUUAUCGAUUAACAAUUGGAGGGCAAGUCUGGUGCCAGCAGCCGCGGUAAUUCCAGCUCCAAUAAGGAAAACUAAAGUUGCUGUGUUUAAAAAGCUCGUAGUUGAAUUUCGGGUAUUUGUUGCCAGUUGGUCUAACUGGCCAUAUUGGUUAACAGAUCCUCACUUGCUGGACGGCUGGCGAUGAUCUUUAUCGAUUGUCGUCAGUUGCCAGAACGUUUACUUUGAGAAAAUUAGAGUGCUAAAAGCAGGCUCACGCCUAUAUAUAUUGCAUGGAAUAAUGAAAUAAGAUCUCGAUUUUAUUUCGUUGGUUUUAGAAAUUGAGAUAAUGAUUAAUAGGAUCAGAGGGGGGCGUACGUACUGUGGUGUGAGAGGUGAAAUUCUUGGAUCGCCACAGGACGAACAGCAGCGAAGGCGUUCGCCAAGAAUGUUUUCAUUAAUCAAGAACGAAAGUUUGAGGUUCGAAGACGAUUAGAUACCGUCCUAGUUCAAACCAUAAACGUUGCCAACUGUCUUUUAGAUGCGGUUAUUCAUAUGACUCAUCUGGCGGAUCUCGAGAAAUCUAAGUUUUUAGGUUCCGGGGGAAGUAUGGUUGCAAAGCUGAAACUUAAAAGAAUUGACGGAAGGACACACAAGAAGUGGAGCCUGUGGCCUAAUUUGACUCAACACGGGAAACCUUACUCGGCCAGGACACUUUUAGGAUUGACAGAUUGAGAGCUCUUUCUUGAUUAGGUGGGUGGUGGUGCAUGGUCGUUCGUAGUUCGUGGAGCGAUUUGUCUGAUUAAUUUCGAUAACGAACGAG
rnacentral:rRNA from 1 species